rnacentral:rRNA from 1 species
CAGCAGCCGCGGUAAUACGGAGGGUGCAAGCGUUAAUCGGAAUUACUGGGCGUAAAGCGCACGCAGGCGGUCUGACAAGUCAGAUGUGAAAUCCCCGGGCUUAACCUGGGAACUGCAUUUGAAACUGUCAGGCUGGAGUCUUGUAGAGGGGGGUGGAAUUCCAGGUGUAGCGGUGAAAUGCGUAGAGAUCUGGAGGAAUACCGGUGGCGAAGGCGGCCCCCUGGACAAAGACUGACGCUCAGGUGCGAAAGCGUGGGGAGCAAACAGGAUUAGAUACCCCUGUAGUCCCUGUCUCUUUACC